rnacentral:tRNA from 1 species
CAAGAAAUAGUUUAUUAUUAAAAUAUUAGUUUUGGAGACUAAUGAAGGAAGAUUUCUUUUCUUGA